rnacentral:tRNA from 1 species
CCCAGCUCAGACGGUAGAGCUCUCGGCUGAUAACCGAGUGGUCCCGGAUCGAAUCCGGGAACUGUGU